UUUUGUCUACACAAAACGACAGCAAAUAAUGUGAAAGAUAUUUUAAAAAGGGGGGAUGUUUUUACUUCCUUCCAGGUUUUUGUCUACACAAAACAACAGCAGAUAAUGUCUGAUGAAAACUGUUUGGAUGCAGCAUCAACUAAUGCACCUGUUAAACUUAUAAGAUGUACUGGACUGGGAGGAAACCAGAUGUGGAUAUAUGACACAAAGGACCAAACAAUUCGACACAUGAAUACAGGAAACUGUCUAACGAUGACUAGAGAACAAGACGUUGCUCUCUCUCUUUUGAGAGAGUGUGAUGGAAAUAUUGAUCAGAAGUGGUUAAUGCAGAAAAAUUAUCAAUUGCAAUCUUCUUAGGACCAAAUACAAUUUUGAAAUGUUUGACAAAUAUGCAUGUCAAAAUUGAGAGAAAGUGUGUCUGGUGGAACAUCUGAGAGGACCAAUGGGGUAGCCGAAGAGUAGGCCAGCAUACGUUAUAUAUACAGCAUUACGGUAACAACAUUAGUAUAAGCAAACAAUGAGAGAUAUUUCUGUGACAAUUCCUGUUGUGUAAUCUGCAAUCUUUGUCUUCAUUUAUUGGCAAAACUUUUCAGAAAUGACAGAUUGUAUAAUAAUAACCUCUGAUAAGCAUAGAGCAGUCUUACUAAUGUUCUUCCAAACAAAAUUAAUUUUACCUUUUUUUUUUUGGAGAUUUGUCAUUCUUGAAGUUAGUUGUUAUGGCAAUUUUCUCACAUUUUUAUUGUUAGGAGAAACUAUAUAAUUUUUAUUUUAAUGUAUAAAAACUGAGAUUGUCUGGAAUGUUACCUAUGUAUAUUGUUACCUGAGAAUGUUGUGUUACCUAAGUAUAUCAUUACUUUCUGAUUAUUUUAUAAUUCUUCAUAAAGCGAUCUGUCACAAAAAUUAUCUCAAGUAGUAAGUGUGUUGAAAUGAAUGCUUUGGUUAUUGCAGUAAAAAUUAAGAUUAAUAUAUCUUGUUAUAACAGCUGAAAAACUA